rnacentral:lncRNA from 1 species
CUGCUUGGCAAAUGGUUUGACAAAUGGACAGACUCUCAAAGAAGAAGAAUCCUCACAGGCCUGUUGGAGCGCUGCUCGCUGUCCCAGCAAAAGUUCUGCUGUCGAAAGCUUCAAGAGAAAAUUCCAGCAGAAGCCCUGGACUUUACAACCAAGCUUCCAAGGGUGUUAUCUUUAUACAUCUUUUCUUUCCUGGACCCUCGGAGCCUUUGUCGUUGUGCACAGGUGUGCUGGCAUUGGAAGAACCUUGCUGAGCUGGACCAGCUCUGGAUGCUGAAAUGUUUACGGUUUAACUGGUACAUCAAUUUCUCUCCAACUCCCUUUGAGCAGGGGAUCUGGAAGAAGCACUAUAUUCAAAUGGUGAAAGAACUUCAUAUUACCAAGCCUAAGGUGAAUUUUAGACAGAAAGCCACAAGCUUGCAAACAUUGGCUCUUUGCAAAUUCUAGAACUAAGAAUAAAGGAUCAGACUGGAAGUUGGGGAAGGGAGGUAGUUCAAA